AUACCAAGAUCAUUAAGAGCAAGGUUGAAGAGAUGGAAAGAUCUACACACAAAAAGAACAAAGGGAAGAAACACCUCACCCCCUGGACAUCCAAAGAUAGCCUCUGGAACCAGGAAUAGAGAUUCAUGCCACACAAUUACUUAUCAGUUAAGCAGGUGAAAACACAGCAAGAAAAAGCAUAAAUUCCUGCUUCUCUGCCACUGGGUAUCAUGCCACCCAAAUUAUCUCAGUGCUUUGCAGACAGUCCUGGGUUGGCAUGUGACCGACAUUUAUGACUGCCACUGACAGCUUCCCCAUGGUUCUACAUUUAACAGAGCAACAUACCUGCAUAGUGGCCACCUUGUGAACAGAAGCUUUCCAUUCACUCCAGACACUUCUCUGUAUUUCGGUGACAGCAAUAAGACAUGCGCUGGAGGAAAUGAAUGCUAGCAGAGUUUUCUCUACUGGAGCACCUAGAGCUGAGCUGUGAUUUAAUAAGCUAGCAUGUCCCAGAAUUAAAGAAUAUUUUUUGAUAGAAGGAAAUAACCUUCAGGGUUUGGAAGACGUUUUCAAAAGCAAAAGUGUUUUUCACCAGAAACAUAAUAUUAAGUUACAAAUGAUCUGUAACACCUGCCAUUCAUCUGUGCUUAGGGAAAAAAUAAAAAGUUGGGCAAUAAAGGUAUGAAGCCUGUGCUGCGUGGAAAUCAUGGAAAUGAGGACGCACCACUGGCAAAGAGAUGCAGGAGGCCCCUCAAGCCCUGGCCAGAGGCUGGUGAAGGGCAGACAAACAUCCUAACAAGGAGAAGCACUCAGAAGACUGCACUCAGUGCUGAAAAUAGCAAACACACACACAUACACACACA